rnacentral:lncRNA from 1 species
UAGCAAUCAUAUUGCUUGUGUAAGGAACUUGACUCCCCCUCUAGCAAAUCCUCCCAUUAUGGUGUUUAGGGUGUGUCAUAUAUGCUCUUCUCCACAUAAGACGAGGGCUAUUGGGUAUAUCCUAGUUAAGAGUUUGAGCUCUUGUUCCAGAUCCUAAUGGCGGGCCCUAAACAUACAUUCACAUUCUUAAAUGCAUUGUUCAAUCUCCUUC